UACGUAGGGGGCAAGCGUUAUCCGGAUUUACUGGGUGUAAAGGGAGCGUAGACGGUGAUGCAAGUCAGAAGUGAAAGCCCGGGGCUCAACCCCGGGACUGCUCUUGGAACUGCAUGGCUGGAGUACAGGAGGGGCAGGCGGAAUUCGUGGUGUAGCGGUGAAAUGCUUAGAUAUCACGAAGAACUCCGAUUGCGAAGGCAGCCUGCUGGACUGUAACUGACGCUGAUGCUCGAAAGUGUGGGUAUCAAACAGG
rnacentral:rRNA from 1 species